CCUACGGGGGGCUGCAGUGGGGAAUAUUGGACAAUGGGGGGAACCCUGAUCCAGCCAUGCCGCGUGUGUGAAGAAGGCCCUCGGGUUGUAAAGCACUUUCAGUGAGGAAGAACGCCUGGUGGUUAAUACCCAUCAGGAAAGACAUCACUCACAGAAGAAGCACCGGCUAACUCCGUGCCAGCAGCCGCGGUAAUACGGAGGGUGCGAGCGUUACUCGGAAUUACUGGGCGUAAAGCGCGCGUAGGUGGCUUGAUAAGCCGGUUGUGAAAGCCCCGGGCUCAACCUGGGAACGGCAUCCGGAACUGUCAAGCUAGAGUGCAGGAGAGGAAGGUAGAAUUCCCGGUGUAGCGGUGAAAUGCGUAGAGAUCGGGAGGAAUACCAGUGGCGAAGGCGGCCUUCUGGACUGACACUGACACUGAGGUGCGAAAGCGUGGGUAGCAAACAGGAUUAGAUACCCUGGUAGUC
rnacentral:rRNA from 1 species